rnacentral:misc_RNA from 1 species
GAAAUGCGAUAAGUAAUGUGAAUUGCAGAAUUCAGUGAAUCAUCGAAUCUUUGAACGCACCUUGCGCUCCUUGGUAUUCCUUGGAGCAUGCCUGUUUGAGUAUCAUGAAAUCUUCAAAGUAAAUCUUUUGUUAACUCAAUUGGUUUCUACUUUGGUAUUGGAGGUCUUUGCAGCUUCACACCUGCUCCUCUUUGUUCAUUAGCUGGAUCUCAGUGUUAUGCUUGGUUCCACUCGGCGUGAUAAGUUAUCUAUCGCUGAGGACACUGUAAAAGGUGGCCAAGGUAAAUGCAGAUGAACCGCUUCUAAUAGUCCAUUGAAUUGGAAAAUACUUUUAUGAUCUGAUCUCAAAUCAGGUAGGACUACCCGCUGAACUUAAGC